UCCGUAGGUGGAUCAAUCAGUCAGAGGUGAAAUCCUGCAGCUUAACUAUAGAACUGCCUUUGAUACUGUUGAUCUUGAGUCAUUAUGAAGUGGUUAGAAUGUGUAGUGUAGCGGUGAAAUGCAUAGAUAUUACACAGAAUACCGAUUGCGAAGGCAGAUCACUAAUAAUGUACUGACACUGAGGGACGAAAGCGUGGGGAGCGAACAGGAUUAGAUACCCUGGUAGUCC
rnacentral:rRNA from 1 species